UACGUAGGGGGCUAGCGUUGUCCGGAAUCAUUGGGCGUAAAGAGCGUGUAGGCGGCCCGGUAAGUCCGCUGUGAAAGUCGGGGGCUCAACCCUCGGAUGCCGGUGGAUACUGUCGGGCUCGAGUACGGAAGAGGCGAGUGGAAUUCCUGGUGUAGCGGUGAAAUGCGCAGAUAUCAAGAGGAACACCUGAGGUGAAGACGGGUUGCUAGGCUGACACUGACGCUGAGGCGCGAAAGCCAGGGGAGCAAACGGG
rnacentral:rRNA from 1 species